rnacentral:rRNA from 1 species
UACAUAGGGUGCGAGCGUUGUCCGGAUUUACUGGGCGUAAAGCGUAUGUAGGCGGUGUCCUAAGUCAAAUUUAAAAUACAAAGGCUCAACCUUUGUUUGGGUUUGAUACUGGGAUUCUAGAGGUAGGGAGAGGAAAGCGGAACUAACAGUGUAGCGGUGAAAUGCGUAGAUAUUGUUAGGAACACCCGUGGCGAAAGCGGCUUUCUGGACCUAUUCUGACGCUAAGAUACGAAAGCGUGGGGAGC